rnacentral:lncRNA from 1 species
GUGGUCUUCACGGACGCCUCGUUGACGGGUUGGGGAGGAACGUGCCUCUCUCACUCGGUCGGAGACGAGUGGCGCACGCCCCCUGCAGCACACAUAAAUGUGUUGGAGCUUGACGCUGUGAGGAAAGUGCUGUUGCAUUUCUUUCACCUGGUGCGCGGCCGCCACGUUCUGAUCAGGACAGACAGCGUGUCGGCGGCGGCGUACAUCAACAGACAGGGGGGAGUCCGCUCCCCUGAUCUCCACCGAAAGGCGGUCGAGCUCUGGCUUUGGGCUCACCAGUAUCUCCUCAGUCUGAGAGCCCUGCAUAUCGCGGGCGCCCAGAACUUUGGGGCGGACCUCAUGUCUCGAGGCGGUCCCCGUUGAGACGAGUGGCGGUUACAUCCCGACAUUGUCAGACUGAUCUGGCAGAGGUUCGGGACAGCGCAGGUAGACCUCUUCGCAUCCAGGGAGAACACGCACUGCAGGUGAUGGUUCUCCCUCAGCCCUCGGGAUCUCCCCCCGUUGGGGGUAGAUGCGUUGGCACACACACCUUGGCCGCAGGCUCUCUUGUAUGCGUUUCCCCCGCUCCAGCUGAUCCUUCCUCUUCUGGAACGGGUCAGACAGGAGAGACUGUCCCUGAUAAUAGUGGCCCCGGAGAACCGUUCAGCUCUGUGGUUUCCAGAGCUGGCCGCGCUCUCGCGGCCGGCGCCGUGGCCGGUACCGUUCAGGCCGGAUGCGCUUUCACAGGCCCACGGGACGGUGCACCACCCGCCCGAUGUCUCGGGACGGCUGUUGGUUUGGCUCCUGAGAGGUUGAUCCUGCAGGGCAAGUGUUUGCCUGAGACGGUUAUCAACACUAUUCAGAGUGCUCGUGCGCCUUCUACUUCUUCCCUCUAUGCGGCGAAGUGGUGCGCCUUCUCUAAUUGGUGUGAGAGGAACCACGCUGUCCCAUCUCAAUGCGAGGUGGGAAGCGUGCUUUCGGUUCUGCAAAACUUAUUGGAGAAAGGUUUGGCCUUCUCCACUAUCAAGGUCUAUGCGGCAGCUGUUUCGGCUGGCCAUGCAGGCUGUGAUGGUGGACCGCUCUUCAGCCAUCCACUGGUCAAGAGAUUCUUGCGUGGGGCUAGACGGGUUAGGCCUGUUUCACGCGUGCUUACACCGCGCUGGGAUCUACCCACCGUGCUGCGCAGAUUGUCCGGGAAUCCUUUCGAGCCUCUUUCUCAGGCCCCUUUGGAUGCCCUGUCCUUUCAGACGGCGCUCUUGUUGGCCUUGGUUUCUGCCAAGCGGGCCGGUGAGCUAACCGCUCUGUCUGUCAGCCCGAGCUGCUUGUUGCUAAACGAGGACAGCUCCUUCGCGUUGCUCAGACCUAAUCCUGCAUUCCUCCCGAAGAACAUUAAUAGUUAUUUUCGGUCUAGGGAUAUUGUGCUUAAGGCUUUUCACCCCCCGCCUCAUUCUAGUGAGGCGGAGGCGGAGUUGCUUCUCCUGUGCCCGGUUCGGGCAUUGGCUAUGCACGUGAACCGCUCGGCCGCGUUCCGCUCCACACAACAGUUGUUUGUGUGUUAUAGUGACG